GCUUCCUGCUUGCGUCCCGCGGCCCCCGCGUGCGGCGCAUGGCCGUGUCCGUCCUGUAUUCCCAUGGGGGUCGUCGGGCCGGGUCACCGGCCUCCGCGUCUGCGGCGGGAAGGCGCCUUUCGCUACGGUCGGAGAAACGGACUUGAAUCUCCCUGCGGUUCCUCUACGGUGUGUGACCUUGGGUUAUCUACGCUCCUGGGGAGCCUCAGUUUCUCCAUUACAACAAUGGCACUGUACAAGACGGGGAGGCCUCUUUAGCCUGUUCCCAAAGGCUCUGUGCAGGGAUACUGAAGUGUCGAGUAUGGUCGCUGGUCAGCUACGUCUGAGGGGACAGAUGGUGCGGCUUCCUCCACAGAAUCACUGGGCUUCGUUAUGUGUGAGUGCAGAGUACUGAGCCAGGGGUUGCAUAGACGACACCCACGCCUACCAGCUAUUCAUCUUCCCACCUCGUCGCACUGAUCCUGAACGGGGCUUGAAGUUUGCGGCAGUACCCCGUCGUUCCCACUAGGUGGCACUAUCACAAAGGACAACGGAGGGUCCUGAAACCCAGAGCUGCAAACUGGCAGGUGCCAGGCUGUUGUAAGGCCUGAUGGGUUUGGGACCAAUUCAUCAUGUGAGCCGUUGGUCCUUCUACCGUCACCACCUCUAUGUUUUUUGGAAGCUGACUGUACCUUGGUGCUGGGCUACUGAUUCACUCAGUGAUGUUAGCAGAAAGCUUUAAUAGGCCAAGUUUAACUCCAAGCCACCCCUGGAUUUGUCCUUCCUGAUCCUGGAUUCAUCUCUCCAAUCCCUUCAUGAGAUUUGCUGCCUGGUGUGACUCUUAUAAGCCAAGAAGCAAUGAAGAGAAGGGAAGAAUUAAAGCAGGGGAGUGGGCUCAGCUUCUUGACCUCUUCAGCUCAGCUGGGAUACCCUCCCCUGGGAGCUGCAGUGUCUCUGCUGACAAGGCUUCAGGAAUCUCAGAGCUGUGUGGCUCCUGGACUCCCAUGUCUCGGGAUGCCCUGCCCUUGAGACACUGCCCCACAUCAGAGCUGUGCAGUUCCUGGGCUUCAGAGCCCCAGUAGAUACCCUUCCACUGAGCAGAAAUUUAUAAGCCCUCGUCCUGGUUUAAUCACUCAGCCCCUUCAAAGGUUUCUCCCAGCCCUUCCUCCCUCAGUUCACCAACAGGAUGCUGAAAGAAUCCCUUCUCUCAGUUUUCUCAGUACUGGCAACUCCAAACUAUAGCAACUAUUCUGGCCUAUCUGCUCAGCUCAGCUUCUCCUGGCUCAGCUGUCACCAACUGUCUUCUGUCUUCUCUUUUUACUCUGUUAGAAGAACUCAUGUUCAACUCCCUUCUCUUUUCCCUCUGCCAGCCCUGUGCUUUCUCAGCCUACAACAGAGGGCUUGCUGAGCAUGUACAAUAAAUAAUACAGCCCAAGAAUGCUUACUCAGAUGAAAAGAGACUUGUGAGUUAACGAGUGAAGGAUGAUCACAAAGGUAUAACACACUUGGAUCCUCUUUGCAAAAUGUCUAAAAUGUAUGUUUUAUGUGUAUAUUUGUGUGCCCAAAAUAUGACAGCUGAGCAGUGGUGGUAUACACCUUUAAUCCCAGCAUUCAGGAAGCAGACAGGCAGAGCCAAGUUUGAGGCUAGGACUAUCUACAGAAUAAGUUCCAGAACAGCCAAAGCUGCACAGAGAAACUCUGUCUUGAAAAUAAAACAAUAACAAGCAAAACAGACAUGAAUGUUAUUUUAAAUAAGUGUUUUUAUUAAAAUGAUAAAAAUAUUUAUUUUUAAAAGUGUUAUUUUAAUAGUUUUAAAUACACAUACUGGGCUGAAGAGAUGGCUCAGUGGUUAAGAGCACUGACUGCUCUUCCGAAGGUCCUGAAUUCAAAUCCCAGCAACUACAUGGUGGCUCACAACCAUCUGUAAUUAGAUCUGAUGCCCUCUUCUAGAGUGUCUGAGGACAGCUACAGUGUACUUACAUAUAAUAAAUAAUGCUGAGAAUAAAAGUUAUUUAAAAAUACACGUACUAUAAAAUUUACUAUUUGCAUUGAUACUAUUAUGUAGUAAUUUCCAAUAACUAGUUUCAGAAUUUUUUAUUUUAUGGGUAUGAGUGUUUGCUUGCAUGUACAUAUUCAGGUGCGGUGUGUGUAUCUGUAUCAAUGGGUGUAAUAUCUGUGGAGGCCAGAAGAAGACAUUCCAUCUGAAAUUGGAGUUGCAGGUGUUUGUGAGCUGUGAUUGCUAGGAAUCAAAUUGGAGAUGUCUAGAAGAGCAGCCAGUGCUCUUAAUCACUGAGACAUUCUCAGCCCCAGAAGCCCAAACUUGAAGAGACAAGGGGUCUCUUGUCUUUGAAGAGGAGGAAUAGUGGCAGGGAGGAGAGCCUGGUUAUUUGUAAUUGUUCUUUUACACAAAAUCUGGGCGUUUAUGGAUCCAGAUAUGCGGACUAUAGUUCUCUGUGUUAUUGGUAUACCUAAAUAUUUGUAAAUACAUAGUUUUGUCUCUUUCUUUGGAGGCACGAUUUUGAAUCCUCUCUGCUUUGUUACUUCGUGUUUUAAAGUUGGUCUUCAUGAACACAAGUAUUACCCUGAUAACAAAAAUUAAAAAUGCAAAACACUUUAAAUAAAGGAAAUAUAUUAAUUUUAAUGUC
rnacentral:lncRNA from 1 species